rnacentral:rRNA from 1 species
GUUAGAUGCGAUGGGGGGACGGAUCGCGGAAGGUUGUCCGGGUGUUGGACGUCCCGGUCGCUGCAUUGGAGAAGGCGCUUAGGCAAAUCCGGGCGCAGGAUUCAAGGGUGUGGCGCGAGCGACUUCGGUCGCGAAGCAAUUGGAAGUGGUUCCAAGAAAAGCCUCUAAGCUUCAGUCUAACGAUGACCGUACCGCAAACCGACACAGGUGGGCGAGAUGAGUAUUCUAAGGCGCUUGAGAGAACUCGGGAGAAGGAACUCGGCAAAUUGGUACCGUAACUUCGGGAUAAGGUACGCCCUUGUAGCUUGACCAGCCUGCGCUGGAAGGGUGAAGGGGUUGCAAUAAACUGGUGGCUGCGACUGUUUAAUAAAAACACAGCACUCUGCAAACACGAAAGUGGACGUAUAGGGUGUGACGCCUGCCCGGUGCCGGAAGAUUAAAUGAUGGGGUGCAAGCUCUUGAUUGAAGUCCCGGUAAACGGCGGCCGUAACUAUAACGGUCCUAAGGUAGCGAAAUUCCUUGUCGGGUAAGUUCCGACCUGCACGAAUGGCGUAACGAUGGCCACACUGUCUCCUCCCGAGACUCAGCGAAGUUGAAGUGUUUGUGAUGAUGCAAUCUACCCGCGGCUAGACGGAAAGACCCCAUGAACCUUUACUGUAGCUUUGCAUUGGACUUUGAACCGAUCUGUGUAGGAUAGGUGGGAGGCUAUGAAACCGGAACGCUAGUUUCGGUGGAGCCGUCCUUGAAAUACCACCCUGGUUUGUUUGAGGUUCUAACCUUGGUCCGUGAUCCGGAUCGGGGACAGUGCAUGGUAGGCAGUUUGACUGGGGCGGUCUCCUCCCAAAGGGUAACGGAGGAGUACGAAGGUACGCUAGGUACGGUCGGAAAUCGUGCUGAUAGUGCAAUGGCAUAAGCGUGCUUAACUGCGAGACCGACAAGUCGAGCAGGUGCGAAAGCAGGUCAUAGUGAUCCGGUGGUUCUGUAUGGAAGGGCCAUCGCUCAACGGAUAAAAGGUACUCUGGGGAUAACAGGCUGAUACCGCCCAAGAGUUCAUAUCGACGGCGGUGUUUGGCACCUCGAUGUCGGCUCAUCUCAUCCUGGGGCUGUAGCCGGUCCCAAGGGUAUGGCUGUUCGCCAUUUAAAGAGGUACGUGAGCUGGGUUUAAAACGUCGUGAGACAGUUUGGUCCCUAUCUGCCGUGGGCGUUGGAUAUUUGAAGGGGGCUGCUCCUAGUACGAGAGGACCGGAGUGGACGAACCUCUGGUGUACCGGUUGUGACGCCAGUCGCAUCGCCGGGUAGCUAUGUUCGGAAGAGAUAACCGCUGAAAGCAUCUAAGCGGGAAACUCGCCUUAAGAUGAGAUAUCCC